rnacentral:rRNA from 1 species
UACGUAGGGGGCUAGCGUUGUCCGGAAUCAUUGGGCGUAAAGGGUUCGUAGGCGGUAAUACAUGUCAGAUGUGAAAUCUUGUGGCUUAACCACAUCAAGCAUCUGAAACUGUAUAACUUGAGUGAAGGAGAGGUAAGUGGAAUUCCUAGUGUAGCGGUGAAAUGCGUAGAUAUUCGGAGGAACACCAGUGGCGAAGGCGGCUUGCUGGACUCUAACUGACGCUGAGGCCCGAAAGCGUGGGGAGCAAACAGGAUUAGAUACCCG